GUGGAGGCAGUUAGAUAGGCGCGGGGCAGGAUCCUUGAAUAAAAUGGGGGGAAGGAUGGACGAGGACUGGAGCCGACAGACAAUUUGGGGAGAGGAAGAACUAGAUAGCAAUUACGGGUUGUAGAUGGGCGGGCCAGAUCAUAAGGAACAGCUGUCGUUUAUCUGUUAAAAAAUGAAGUAAAAAAAGAAAAAGGAAAAAAUAGAAAUUAAGAAAUUUGAAUUCAUUUUCUUAGGUCAAUUACUGUAAAAGUCUUUACAAUAGAUUCUUGAACUAUUUGUGUGGUGGAUCUCUGACAAUCUGGAGAAGUCCUCUCUCAGCAUUGUAUUUUCAAAUGAGGAAACAAGAAGCUUAAGUUAUGAUUUGACUAAAUCCACAUGGCAAACAGAUAAUUCAAAUCCAGGACUUCUGACUCCUUUAGUUCCAAAGCCUUCAAGGGGAAAAGGAAGGAAAGAGCAAAAAGGCCAAAGUUUGUGCUGUAGCAGUUCGUACACAGGAAGUUAAAUAAGAAUGAUAACAAUGUAUGUAGUCAUUGUCCAAACAUACAGCUUUUAUUUUUCAUCAUUUGAAGGCCUACUCCCAAAAUGUGAGAUUGGAUGGAACCCAAAGUAAUAAAUGAUUGCAUGCUGUA